GACGAACGCUGGCGGCGUGCUUAACACAUGCAAGUCGAACGGAAAGGCCCUGCUUUUGUGGGGUGCUCGAUUGCCGAACGGGUGAGUAACACGUGUGUAACCUGCCCUUGACUUUGGGAUAACUUCAGGAAACUGGGGCUAAUACCGGAUAGGAGCUCCUGCUGCAUGGUGGGGGUUGGAAAGUUUCGGCCGUUGGGGAUGGACUCGCGGCUUAGUCGCUUGUUGGGGGGGUAGUGGCUUACCAAGGGUUUGACGGGUAGCCGGCCUGAGAGGGUGACCGGCCACAUUGGGCCUGAGAGACGGACCAGACUGCUACGGGAGGCAGCAGUGGGGAAUCUUGCACAAUGGGCGGACGCCUGAUGCAGCAACGCCGCGUGCGGGAAGACGGCUUUCGGGUUGUAAACCGCUUUCGCCUGUGACGAAGCGUGAGUGACGGUAAUGGGUAAAGAAGCACCGGCUAACUACGUG
rnacentral:rRNA from 1 species